GAACGCAGCGAAAUGCGAUACGUAAUGUGAAUUGCAGAAUUCAGUGAAUCAUCGAAUCUUUGAACGCAUAUUGCGCUCUCUGGUAUUCCGGAGAGCAUGCUUGUUUGAGUAUCAGUAAACACCUCAACUCCCCUUUCUUUUUUUGAAAUGGGAGCUGGACUUGAGUGAUCCCAACGCUUUUCUCACCGAAAAGUGGCGGGUUACUUGAAAUGCAGGUGCAGCUGGACUUUUCUCUGAGCUAAAAGCAUAUCUAUUUAGUCUGCCUAAAAAACAGAUUAUUACCUUUGCUGCAGCUAACAUAAAGGAGAUUAGUUCUUGUGCUGACUGAUGCAGGAUUCACAGAGACAGCUUCGGCUGGCCUUUGUAAACUCGAUCUCAAAUCAAGUAAGACUACCCGCUGAACUUAAGCAUAUCAAUAG
rnacentral:rRNA from 1 species